UCGGGAAAGCGUGCAAUCGCUGCUUAAAAAGAGCAGAGGAAAGUCUGGACUUCACAGGAGAAGAUACCAGCGAAAGGCUGGGGGCCGCAAGGCUACGGAAAGUGCAACAGAAAACAGACCGCCGUAUCUUUUUUUUAGAUGCGGACAGGAUGAAAAUACGGCCAUCAGGUGGCCGUCGCACUCGAGAGAGAUCCGAGGUGUUGUAAACCCUAUCUGAAGCAAGAGAGAGAGGACAAGGCGCUCCGCCGGCGUCCGUCUCUAAUAGAUCGCUUGAGGGUUGUGGUGACACUACCCCUAGAUGAAUGAUUGCAAAAAACAGAAUCCGGCUUAUCGCUUUCCCGAAAUU
rnacentral:RNase_P_RNA from 8 species